rnacentral:rRNA from 1 species
UACGUAGGGGGCAAGCGUUGUCCGGAAUCAUUGGGCGUAAAGAGCGUGUAGGCGGCUUGGUAAGUCCGCUGUGAAAGUCCAGGGCUCAACCCUGGAAAGCCGGUGGAAACUGUCAAGCUUGAGUCCGGAAGAGGCGAGUGGAAUUCCUGGUGUAGUGGUGAAAUGCGUAGAUAUCGGGAGGAACACCAGUGGCGAAGGCGACUACCUGGCCUGUUCUUGACGCUGAGGCGCGAAAGCUAGGGGAGCAAACGGG